AUAUUUUGAAACGCUCAUAUUUCUCUCUCCUCUCACGUCUUUGUUUCUUUUCUACAAUCCUGAGACUGCUGUUCAUCAACCCCCGGCGUCUGCACCACAAUGUCCCAGAGAGCAGUUACGCGGGGAAGUCAGUUCACAGUCAGACGAGCUGCAGCAAGGCCGGCAGGCAGGCACCGAGGGCAGAGCGAGGUUGUUCAAAUCACCAAGAAGGGGAAGGAAACCCUGCCCGGUGGCCCUCCCUCCCACCAAAGGAAGUGUCUGUCUGUGCUGUUCUCAGGAGCCUUCAGCCUCCUGGUGAGGGCCUCCUCUGCCGCCUGGGCGUCAGGGUGUCCCAACGCUUCUUGACACUCAAAGCAGAAACAAAACAGGUCCCCCGCCACGCUAUCCAGUUUACAUGAGGGAUAAAAUUACAUUUGUACAAAAAUAGAUUCAUUUACCCUUCCCGGUGCGUUAAACAUCCUCUAUCUUUCCUCCCUGCGGACGCCGCAUCCUCCCCACGGUGGCCGCACAGCCCAGCUAAGGCAUGGCUAGACAUCAGGGCACUCCAGCCCGAAGCAUCUGAAAAUAGAUGCAGCCCCUGCCUCCAGAGUCACCAGAGCCCGACUCCCGACAGAGGGGGACCUCGGGUCCUUGCUCACAAGAAGCAAAUGUACAGGAAAAAGGGAAAGUCUUGAUUAAAAGGAACACAAACAUCAGUAACUGGGCCGAAUCUCCCGUCGCCUCUGCAGUCUCCACAGCCCGUGCUCACGCCACACACCUGUGUGCACGGGGACCAGGUCACAUGCCCCAGUUCUACGAUGGGGAUGGCAAUGACUAGCCAUUGGCUGCCUGCUUUGGCCAGGUAUCCUGGGAUGCCAGGGGAGGGGACUUGGGUGUCUCUUGGCGCUGUCACCAAGUCGCCCAGUAUCCCUGGGGAUGCUGCAGUUUGGAAAACUGAGGGUGUGGGGCCAAAUUCCCCCAGUGACUGUGGUAUCGGGGGUGACAAUGGGCCAGCAGCUGCCACAGGCCCUGCCGGCCAUCUUCGCUUCUCAGCCACGGGAGCCCCAACUGAACCUCCGAGCAGGGUGGUCACCCAGAUGAGGGAUAUGGCCCAGGAGCUGCAGGGUGAAGUCACGUGACCAUCGGUGGCAGCUGUCAUCCAACCAGGCUGAGGUGGGGAUGGGCGCAGGGUGGCUAAUGAGCUGAUGCUAGUGCUAUCUUUAGAAAAUUAAAGAUUGCUCCACCAUAAUAACAACAAUAAUAAUGACAAUCACCUUAAUUGAGCCAGAUUGGUAACAGGACUGAAGGUCUGGUUAAACGAAGCCCCAAUUUUCUCCUUAGUGACACCAUGCCCACACCACCACUGCAAACAAACAGCACUGCACCUGAUGACAGUGGCAAUGAGGCUAAAGGAGCAGGAAGCUCACCAGGGAAUCUAUAGUGACGAGCAGUGGUGGGUAAGGCUAUGUGGGCUAGUGGGGCUUGCGGCCAAGGCCCCAGUGCCUGACAGCCAGCCAAGCCCAGACGUGGCUCAGCCCCAGAACUUUCUCUGCUGGAGCCAGAGGAUGCUCAGUGGCUCAGAAACAGGGCACAGUGUAGAACAGGGCUGACACGAACAGUGGGAGAGGAGGUCUGCAGAAGGCACGGUCCUGGGUGUGGACUGGGGAAUCGGCUCCUCUGCCUAGUGCUACCAGCCCCAAAGGCUACAGAUUUUCUAGGAAAGCCUAGGAGAGGAGCAGCUGGCUGACUCCGGGAACUGUGAUGUCUCUCACAGACAUCUCCCAUGCCACUACGUGGAGAGAAGGGUGCAGGGAAGGUGUUUCUGGAAACUUUUAUAGGUGCCUCUGCUGGCUAUGGUUUUGGG
ensembl:lncRNA